rnacentral:rRNA from 1 species
UACGUAGGGUCCAAGCGUUGUCCGGAUUUAUUGGGCGUAAAGAGCUCGUAGGCGGUUCCGUAAGUCGGAUGUGAAAACUCGGGGCUCAACCCCGAGACGCCAUCCGAUACUGCGGUGACUUGAGUCUGGUAGGGGAACACGGAAUUCCUGGUGUAGCGGUGAAAUGCGCAGAUAUCAGGAGGAACACCGGUGGCGAAGGCGGGUCUCUGGGCCGAUACUGACGUGAGGAGCGAAAGCGUGGGGAGCGAACAGG